rnacentral:rRNA from 1 species
GACGAACGCUGGCGGCGUGCUUAACACAUGCAAGUCGAACGGAAAGGCCCUGCUUGCAGGGUACUCGAGUGGCGAACGGGUGAGUAACACGUGGGUGAUCUGCCCUGCACUUCGGGAUAAGCCUGGGAAACUGGGUCUAAUACCGGAUAGGAGCCAUUUUUAGUGUGAUGGUUGGAAAGUUUUUUCGGUGUAGGAUGAGCUCGCGGCCUAUCAGCUUGUUGGGGGGUAAUGGCCUACCAAGGCGGCGACGGGUAGCCGGCCUGAGAGGGUGGACGGCCACAUUGGGACUGAGAUACGGCCCAGACUCCUACGGGAGGCAGCAGUGGGGAAUAUUGCACAAUGGGCGCAAGCCUGAUGCAGCGACGCCGCGUGGGGGAUGACGGCCUUCGGGUUGUAAACUCCUUUCGCUAGGGACGAAGCUUUUUGUGACGGUACCUAGAUAAGAAGCACCGGCUAACUACGUG